GACGAACGCUGGCGGCGUGCUUAACACAUGCAAGUCGAACGGUGAACCUGCUUCGGUGGGGGAUCAGUGGCGAACGGGUGAGUAACACGUGGGCAACCUGCCCUCAGCUCUGGGAUAACUCCAAGAAAUUGGGGCUAAUACCGGAUAUGUCCGCUGACCGCAUGGUCUGGUGGUGGAAAGAUUUAUCGGCUGGGGAUGGGCCCGCGGCCUAUCAGCUUGUUGGUGGGGUAGUGGCCUACCAAGGCGACGACGGGUAGCCGGCCUGAGAGGGUGACCGGCCACACUGGGACUGAGACACGGCCCAGACUCCUACGGGAGGCAGCAGUGGGGAAUAUUGCGCAAUGGGCGAAAGCCUGACGCAGCGACGCCGCGUGGGGAUGACGGCCU
rnacentral:rRNA from 1 species